UACGUAGGGGGCGAGCGUUGUCCGGAUUUAUUGGGCGUAAAGAGCGUGUAGGCGGCCAGGUAGGUCUGCUGUGAAAACUCGAGGCUCAACCUCGAGACGUCGGCGGAAACUGUCUGGCUAGAGUCCGGAAGAGGAGAAUGGAAUUCCUGGUGUAGCGGUGAAAUGCGCAGAUAUCAGGAAGAACACCCGUGGCGAAGGCGGUUCUCUGGGACGGUACUGACGCUGAGACGCGAAAGCGUGGGGAGCGAACAGG
rnacentral:rRNA from 1 species